AACAAACGCUGGCGGCGUGCCUAACACAUGCAAGUCGUACGAGAAAGGGUCCUUCGGGGCCUGAGUAAAGUGGCGCACGGGUGAGUAACGCGUGGAUAAUCUGCCCUUCAGUUGGGAAUAACUCAUCGAAAGGUGGGCUAACACCGAAUAAUGCUGUGAGACCUCGGUUGAUCAGCCAAAGAGAGCCUCUGCUUGCAAGCCCUCGCUGAAGGAUGAGUCCGCGUACCAUUAGCUAGUUGGUAGGGUAAUGGCCUACCAAGGCGACGAUGGUUAGCUGGUCUGAGAGGAUGAUCAGCCACACUGGAACUGAGACACGGUCCAGACUCCUACGGGAGGCAGCAGUGAGGAAUCUUGCGCAAUGGGGGCAACCCUGACGCGGCAACGCCGCGUGAGUGAGGAAGGUCUUCGGAUCGUAAAGCUCUGUCGGAUGGAAAGAACCGCAUAGGGGUAAACAGCCCCUGUGUCUGACGGUACCAUCAAAGGAAGCACCGGCUAACUCCGUGCCAGCAGCCGCAGUAAUAC
rnacentral:rRNA from 1 species